AUAACUCAACUACUCUCUCCAGACGGCAUAGUUUCCUAUUUUAGUCGAAUAAAUUUUCCUCCUUAUAAGCGGUGCCGAGCGGCAAGGCGGUCAUCUACCCCUUUACAUGUUAUAUCAAAGUGUUUGAUGUGGUUUUAGCUUUUUCGUAUCAAAAUAUAAAAACUUUUGAAAUAGGUAAAAACGAUUGAUAAGCGCGCAAAAAUUAUAAUUUGAAAAAAAUAAAAAAUAUCAAUUGCAAUCGUAUGUAAUCUAUCACUUCUGGCCAACGAACGUUACCGCCUCGCCGAGCGGCCACUAAUUAUUACAUAGCUGCUUCAUAAUGAAUUAUAAUGAAAUGAAAUUGAGUAUCUUCUUUAACACUCCCUUCACACCCUCCGUCCAUUUUGAAACUAUAUCUCUUUAUAAAUUAGAGAUAUACGAAUAUUAAAAAAUUGUCACACUGGAAAAAUUUGACAUAUUUAACACACUUCAAUAAAGCUCAAUUAAUCAUUAUCUAAUUACUUUUUAUAUACGAUAUUUUUUAUAAAUUUUAUCAGAAUAGAAAUUAUCGGACAUAUAAAAAUUCCAAAGAAUUUAAUUUUCAUGUGUAAGAGAAAUGUUUCAACUUUGAAAUGUUUUAUGAGUGUUUUUGUAAGCUUAAGUGUUCAAAAUUUUCAAAACAAAAACAUUAAUUAAACAAACAAUAAAUUACAAAAACAUAUUGGAAACAAAAAUUCACCUUCAACAAUAACAACAAAUAAAAAUUUUCGCUGCUAAAGAUAUCAAAAAAACAACCGGAAAUAAAUUCACUAUGAACUUAUGUCGCUGAUGUUAUUGUUUUUACGCAAAGAUCAGACACGAUCCACAGUCGAACGACACGAUGCAAAUAAAACUAAAUUGCACCAACGAAUUCCAACAGAAGAACGCGAUCAAAUUUAAAUAUCAGUCCCAUAGACCGCCAUUCGUCAAACUGGACAACACUCAACUGCUGGU